UUCAUGUUUGUGGGUGUAAUUUCGUCCAGUUGCAGAUACUACUAUCCUUUUUGGAAUGAUCUGCCUUUGAAAAACAAUGGUUCUAUCUGACAAAAGCGAACAGAUCCUGUAGUUGUAAUUGAUACACUAAAUCAGUGUUUCUCAACCUUUUUUUAGGCGAGGCACCCUUUCAAUUCAUGGAAAAUUUUAAGGCACCCCAAACCAAGUAGCCAUAUAGCAUCACAUCCGAUACCACACAAGCUUAGAAUGUAACACAUUUGGAGACACACAACCUAGUAGCACGACCUACGUUCAAAGUUGCAGCUGGGGUGACCAAUAUUUACUUUAUUGUGCGGAAAUGGCAGAUCAAAGAUUCCACUGACUAACAUUAACUUAUCAAUUUUGACAAAUAUGUUUUAUGUUAUAUAAUUUAUUUAUCAGCCACGUUUCCGCGGCACCCCUGAGGGGGCCCUACGGCACCCCAGGGUGCCCCGGCACCCCUGUUGAGAAACACUGCACUAAAUUAUGAUAUUCCUAUGUGUGCGCGCGCACGCGCCAAGUUUUCAAUUCAACACACUGGGACACUUUUCAGUCUUUGAGGUUGCUGGAAUCAACACAGACUACCUCCAUGCACCUUAUCAGAACACUUUGCAUGUUUUUGUAUACUUGUCCCCUUUGUGUAUUGCUGCUAAUCUUUCUCUUUCUAGGUUCUGUUGGUUGCAUGCAGAUUGUGCCAGAUGAUUUAUCUGUCUAUGGUCUAAGCAUGGGCUCUGUGCUAAUAUGCAAUUUGUGCUCUUUUUUUCCCUCAGGUCAACAGCCGACAGGGUCCUUCCACAACCACAUACUUAUGCCAGUAAAAGCCACAGCUUUUCUCCUCCAAUCCAAGAAGCCUGGACUGCAGUCACCAUCUCAACACACCAACCAAGAGAAAGGCGGAUGGCUCAAUUCAAUAUGGAAAAUUGCACAAUAAAAGUUCCAGGACAAGAAGGCUGCAUACUGUGAACGUCAACCUUCAGGGCACCGUCCUGCGCAGAAGACUUUCUACCCUAAGAGGGAUGGCUGACCGCAGACACUCACAACCAGCACAGAUGCCUCCAACCUCAGACUAGGCCCUUCACAGUUGCUGCACUUACCCACCUUCCCAGAGUUUUUGUGUGGUAAUGACAACUGUAAAUAUAGUAUAAAGUAAUGUAUCUAGUGUCAUGUGUAAUACAUUGUUUAAAUUGUCCAUACAUUUCAAUGACAGUAAAUAUUGGUGGACACAAUUUGACUGUGUGGCUUUUUUUAAUUCAUUCUCUGACUGAAAAUGCAUGGUUACAUAAUUUAUAUAUUCCACAAGACCACAAUCAGAAGAACAUUUGACAGGUUGCAUUUAUUUUCUAUGUAUGAAAAAAACAAUGGUAACAAGACAAACGUGGUUCCAAACCAAAAAGGUGAGAUGUACAGAUGAAUGCUCCUACAGAUAAUGAAAAAUAAUAAAAGUCUGCACACUGCCGGUUUGUGUGUUUUAUACCGUACUCUGUAUAAACCUUUUAUAUUGCUCUAGUGGAGCAGGGUAACCCUGGCUAAUCCUGGGUAUUGUACUGUGUAUUACAAGGUCAGCCCUGUUCAAGUGCCCCAUACUGUCUGUAGGCUGCAUGCCUGAAGAGACCGUUUCUCUCACCUGGUCCUACAUCAGCCCAAAGUCUUAUCAAAACUGAGAACACCACAGCAUUUCCUUUCAAUGUUCAUGGGCAUCUCCUUACAGAUUGCGCAGAGGCGCCAGGUUGGUUGUGCUACUGGGCUGUGACUGAGGACCAGAUGUCAUGUGCCAGGUCGAACAUCAAACUGGGGUCACGGGUCAGGGCACGCUGCAGUAACCGAUGGGAUUGCUUCAAAUUCAAUGAUUGAAUCAAGGCCUGCAAAGCAAUAAAUACAUUUUAUGUAGUGCAUUUUCUAUUUGAUGAUGGGGACUAAAUAACUAUUGACAAUAAGACCAAUAUGGACAUAAGCAAUCAUUAUUGUGUAUAUAAAUAAAGAUGUGCCAAUUAUAUGCAUACAACGUUUUCAGUCAAUUUCUUACAAACUGGUGUUGUGCCAGGGGUUACACAGAUGUAUGAAGUAGAUGGGCUUUUAUGGAUGUACUUGAACUACCACUGGUGUUGUGUACCUACAACCAUGUAAUAUCACACUACUACUCAUAGGAGUAGAAAUAUUGUAAUGGUUAUCACAACAGGUGUACUCGUGUAGCCUACUCGUGUUGCGAUAUAGAGUACAUCC